UUAAGCUAAACCUAAUUGGAAUUAUCUUGAUAGGAUAAACACACAGAGCUUAAG
rnacentral:tRNA from 1 species